UGAGGAAUAUUGGUCAAUGGGCGCGAGCCUGAACCAGCCAAGUCGCGUGAGGGAGGACGGCCCUACGGGUUGUAAACCUCUUUUGCCGGGGAGCAACGGGCUCACGUGUGGCGCCACUGAGAGUACCCGGAGAAAAAGCAUCGGCUAACUCCGUGCC
rnacentral:rRNA from 1 species